rnacentral:rRNA from 1 species
UACGUAGGGUGCAAGCGUUAUCCGGAUUCACUGGGUUUAAAGGGUGCGUAGGCGGGUAAGUAAGUCCGUGGUGAAAUCUCUGAGCUUAACUCAGAAACUGCCGUGGAUACUAUUUGCCUUGAAUAUUGUGGAGGUGAGCGGAAUAUGUCAUGUAGCGGUGAAAUGCUUAGAUAUGACAUAGAACACCAAUUGCGAAGGCAGCUCACUACACAAUCAUUGACGCUGAGGCACGAAAGCGUGGGGAUCAAACAGG